GGGGGGGGACACCCGGCGCCCGCCGGCGGGAGUGCAGUAAGGCUGUCAGCGGACCUCAGCUGCCAGGAAACUCAGAAAUGGAAAACUCUGUGAGAUAAGUUUGGUGUCAAACAUCAUAGCUAAACAUUUUCAUUAAAAGAAGUUUGGAGUCACCUAAAUGUGGAGGUAAGGAGCUAACAUCUGUCUAACAGAUUAA
rnacentral:lncRNA from 1 species